UAUUCAUUCACUCCUUCCUUAAAUUCUCCCCUGCGCCUCGCUCUCGCCUUCCUCCUCCCUUCCACUCCCUUGGCUUGCUGCGUUUUCUCUUGGGAACGGGGGCCAUGAAGUUCGGCAAGAGCCUCAGCAACCAGAUCGAGGUGACGUUGCCCGACUGGCGGGACAAGUUCCUGUCCUACAAGGAGCUCAAGCGGCGGCUCAAGUCCAUCCACCCGAGGCCCGGGGAGAGACUCAGUAAACGACCCAGGAGGGCCGACGCCUACGCCGACUCAGGGUGUUGCUGCUUGGAGCCCAUGUUGGCGGAGGAGGUCGAGUUCGUCCGGCUGCUGGAGGACGAGCUCGAGAAGUUCAACGCCUUCUUCGUCGAGAAGGAGGAGGAGUACAUAAUCAGACUCAAGGAAUUACAAGAUAGGGUCGCUAAAUCAGAGUAUAUUAGCGCAGAGAUGAUAAAAAUUAGGAAGGAAAUUGUAGACUUCCACGGGGAGAUGGUUUUGUUAGAGAAUUAUAGUGCCCUCAACUAUACAGGACUGGUGAAGAUCCUGAAGAAGUACGACAAGAGGACAGGAGCUCUCAUUCGCUUGCCCUUCAUCCAAAAGGUCUUGCAACAGCCAUUCUUCACCACUGAUCUGCUUUACAAACUCGUGAAAGAGUGCGAAAGCAUGCUCGACCACCUCUUCCCUAAUAAUGAAACCCCAGAUUCAUCUGUGGUCUCUGAUGCAAAUGAACUGUAUGAUCGGACAGCUUCCACCUCAAAUGGGAAUGGCAAUUUGUUUAAGGUGCACAAGGAGCUCCCGGAGAUCAAGCCAAUGGAGAGCUUGUACAUGAAGAGCACUGUGUCAGCAUUAAGGGUUCUGAAGGAAAUCCGCAGUAAAAGCUCAACUGUGAGUGUUUUCUCUUUACCACCCCUGCAGAUUCAGGGAUUCGACGAUACAUGACAUUAAAUCCCCGUUCUUGAGCAAGCUGCCAGUAACAUUUGUUUAGCAAACGAAUUAUGUUACACUUAAUUUUUGCCCUUUUUUUGCUUCCAUGCAUCAUAGAUGCGUGAUUUAUACUCUGACAGUUGUGUAAGAGGAUGCUGAAAAAUAUGAAAAAGUUCUUAGAUACGAGUAGGAUAAUGCUAAGGUCAACUUGUUCUUUGCAAGAUGGAUAGAUCAUACAAGCAUAAAAAACCUGUCUUGAGCUUUUCUGAAGUUUUAAGUUUAUUUAAUCUGAGUGACGAGCAUCUCCCUGGUAU